rnacentral:rRNA from 1 species
GAUGAACGCUGGCUGCGUGCCUAAUACAUGCAAGUCGAGCGAACAGACGAGGAGCUUUCUCCUCUGACGUUAGCGGCGGACGGGCGAGUAACACGUGGAUAACCUACCUAUAAGACUGGGAUAACUUCGGGAAACCGGAGCUAAUACCUGCUAAUAUAUUUCACCUCAUGGUUCAAUAGUGAAAGACGGUUUUGCUGUCACUUAUAGAUGGAUCCGCGCCGCAUUAGCUAGUUGGUAAGGUAACGGCUUACCAAGGCAACGAUGCGUAGCCGACCUGAGAGGGUGAUCAGCCACACUGGAACUGAGACACGGUCCAGACUCCUACGGGAGGCAGCAGUAGGGAAUCUUACGCAAUGGGCGAAAGCCUGACGGAGCAACGCCGCGUGAGUGAUGAAGGUCUUCGGAUCGUAAAACUCUGUUAUUAGGGAAGAACAAAUGUGUAAGUAACUAUGCACGUCUUGACGGUACCUAAUCAGAAAGCCACGGCUAAAUACGUG